GAUGAACGCUGACAGAAUGCUUAACACAUGCAAGUCAACUUGAAUUUGGGUUUUUAACUUAGGUUUGGGUGGCGGACGGGUGAGUAACGCGUAAAGAACUUGCCUCACAGCUAGGGACAACAUUUGGAAACGAAUGCUAAUACCUAAUAUUAUGAUAAUAGGGCAUCCUAUAAUUAUGAAAGCUAUAAGCGCUGUGAGAGAGCUUUGCGUCCCAUUAGCUAGUUGGAGAGGUAACGGCUCACCAAGGCGAUGAUGGGUAGCCGGCCUGAGAGGGUGAUCGGCAACAAGGGGACUGAGACACGGCCCUUACUCCUACGGGAGGCAGCAGUGGGGAAUAUUGGACAAUGGACCGAGAGUCUGAUCCAGCAAUUCUGUGUGCACGAUGAAGUUUUUCGGAAUGUAAAGUGCUUUCAGUUGGGAAGAAACAAAUGACGGUACCAACAGAAGAAGUGACGGCUAAAUACGUG
rnacentral:rRNA from 1 species